ACCGGACGCCAUUGUUGCACUGUGUGUUAACGCUACUGUGUGUACCUGAUUUUAUAUGAAGCGAAUAAAUAAGUAACACAAGUAAUUGUAUGUUGCUGCUGCAUUGAUGUUACAGAUAUUUAGAUGCAUUGACUUGAAGGGUAGUUAAAGAAGCGCUUAAGAAGCAAUAUAAUUAAAAUAAAGCAUAACUUCCUUUAGGCGCCCCUCCCCACUUCAAAGUAAUAAAGCCUAUAGGUUUCUUAACAGAUUCUAUAAGACACAGAGCAGUAUAAAUGGAGUGGUAGUUUAAUAAGACUUUACAAGUUGAUUAACAGCAACAAAAGAUGGAUCGAAGACUUCUCAUCAUUCUACUUAUUGGAAGAGAAAAUAGACCAAAGCUUGCUUGUUGCAAAGCUUGUUACUUUCUUAAAGAACGAAAAAAGAUGGUUCUCAAGCAUCAAUUACCCAAGAAUCUAAAGAUCAUGCCAGACAAAGUCCUUGAAUAAGGUACAUGAAAUAAAACUGUACUGAUUAAGCAAUGCAACUUAAUACAAGAAUAUUCUUAA